UGGGGAAUUUUGGACAAUGGGGGCAACCCUGAUCCAGCCAUGCCGCGUGCGGGAAGAAGGCCUUCGGGUUGUAAACCGCUUUUGUUCGGGAAGAAAUCGAUCUCGUUAAUACCGGGAUUGGAUGACGGUACCGGAAGAAUAAGCACCGGCUAACUACGUGCCAGCAGCCGCGGUAAUACGUAGGGUGCAAGCGUUAAUCGGAAUUACUGGGCGUAAAGCGUGCGCAGGCGGUUUCGCAAGUCAGAUGUGAAAGCCCCGGGCUCAACCUGGGAACUGCAUUUGAAACUACGAGGCUAGAGUGUGUCAGAGGGAGGUAGAAUUCCACGUGUAGCAGUGAAAUGCGUAGAGAUGUGGAGGAAUACCGAUGGCGAAGGCAGCCUCCUGGGAUAACACUGACGCUCAUGCACGAAAGCGUGGGGAGCAAACAGG
rnacentral:rRNA from 1 species